UGGUAGCCAGAGGCACUGCUCUGCCGGGACAGUGUGGGUCUCCGAUCCUCCGGGGUAGAAUAGCCACCAUAGGCCACAUGCCGGGCAGUGCCUCCCUCUGCGGAAGGGUAAGACCCUGCAUUCCACUCCCACGGGGCCAGCCCCUCCCCUGCAGAGCACCAAUGGCCCCAUGGCACCAAUGGCCAGUCAGGGCCACUCACAUUCUUUGAACACAGUGUCCCACUGUUGUCCCCCUUGGCAAGCCCAGAUCCGCCUGGAGUGCCUGGAGAGACAUGUUCCCUCUCUCUUGUCUUGCUCUAUGGGAGGGGAGACUGGCGUGGCAGAGGGGAGAGAAGAGAGCCCCAUUGUUCCUUAGCCAAGCUAGGGUGUCUGGACACAAGCUGACAACCAGUGUCAUGGAGAGAACACCCUCUCUCACGUCCCAGAGUCUGACUGAUAAUAAAAAUAGGCCUGCU
rnacentral:lncRNA from 10 species